GAAGUCGAGCGCCGCCGCAGUGCUGGCUAGUGUGAAAAGAGAGGAGGAGGGUUUGCGGCCUCAGCGUCUGUCAACAGAACCCUCUUCACCUGUGGUUAAAUCCUCCCUAGCCCUGAGCUCGUCCUCCCCUCCCUAUGGACGCAGACCUGACCGUAGAAGCCCUGCAGCACUCACUGGGGGCUUGAGGGAGCCCCUGAGUCCCCUCCACCCUCGCUGCCUUUUCCUGGAUGCCCAGGAAAUAUCUCCAAGGGAGGCUGUGACCCAGGACCCCGCCUCGACCUCACCUUCUUCUGUAAGGCGCAGUGAAAGACAAAGAUGAAGACCCCCUGGAAGGCGUUGAAGGUGGUGAAGAGAUAGGCCAUGACCACCGACUCCUUGUUGAUGAAGAGGAGGCCGAAAGCCCAGGAACUUCUGACCAGAGGGACUGGCUCUCCUGGCCCCUCUCUGAAGCUUCCAGCACGCAGCUCCGCAGGGGCAGCCUCUGGCUCCCUUCCCAGCGCCUCACCCAGGGCCUGGCACUCAGGAGAUGCUCAGCGAACAUUUGGGAGACAACAAUAAUCGUAAUUGACAAGAGGCAUUACAAGGAGUUGCAACAAAAGCAACAACUACCAAGUGUCCAGCACUCACGAGGGGACAGCAACUAUGCUAGGCACCUCACGGGCCAUCUUUCAAGAACCCUGCCUACAGAUGGGAAAACUGAGGCACAGUGAAGUGAGGCCACAUGGCUGGCGGAAGCAGGCACCAUUUCCUUUGCAUCUAUAGCUCGUGUGCACACAAGCUUGACACACUGUCACUACUCCUUGCAGCUUCCAAGGGAAGGCUUUUGACCCCUCUUCACCCCAUCACAGAUGAAUAAACAGGCUCAGCUGGCUGAAAUGGCAUCGGUAAUAUUACUGAGUACGUCCUGAACCAGGCAUGGGUCUGGGCGCUGGGGCGGUAGGUGAAGACGAAGCCUCUGCCCUUGGGAAGUUUACACUUGGCACUCAAAACCCUGCCUCCGGGAGCGGCUGGCCGGCCUGGGCCAAGCGCUUCUCACAGGCCAUCUCGUGGACUCCCUCCUCCCUCCGUAGUGGCCCAGAGAAAUGAAGUCAUUUGCUCAGGUUUCAGAGCCAGAAAACUCAAAGAGUCCAGUCGAGCCUUGAACCUACACCCAUCUGACUGCCCCCCUGUGCUGAGCUCGCUCCCUCCCGCCCCCUUUCCCGGCUGCCCCAGCCGCGGGAGUCGGCCGUGUCCCCAGUGCUGUGGGGAGGCUUCAAGGAGCAGAUGGGCGUCCCCCUCAGUGGUGGCUGAAGGCCUCAGGUGCUGAAAGGAAAGGACGAGGAGUAAAAGAAGAAAAUUACGGAAGCACAGAAGGGAUCCUGUUUCCCCACCAUCGAAUCACCUGCGAGGAGAAAUCAAAGUGAGAGCCUUGAAGAUGUAAUCACAGAGACAGAGAGAGAGAGAGAGGGAGAGAGGAGCAUCGGCUCACCAAGAAGGCCUGUCCUCGUCCCAGGGGCCACAGCGGGAUGGCCCCUACCAACCUGGCCCAGCUGACUUGUUGGAGGGUUUGGGAGCCGAGGCCCCUCCCCGGCGCCAGCAGCACCUACCUUGGGUGGCCGAGGUGACCAGGACGGCGGUGACACACAGAUUCCAGAGCACUGCGGCCAGGCGGGC